GAUUAAAUGGCUGAAAUUUAGGCGAUAGACUGUAAAUCUACUUAUAAGAAUUUAUUCUUUUUAAUCA
rnacentral:tRNA from 1 species